AAAUUAUUUGUGCUAAAAAAAUAUUAAAUAAAAAUUUCGUCAAAAAAAAAUUGAAGUGAAAGUAUAAAAAAUUUAAAAUCCCAAAAUUAUUUGUGCUAAAAAAUGUUAAAUUUCGACAAAAAAAAUUAAAGUGAAAAAAAAAAUUUAAAAAUAUUCGCAUCUAGAGUGCCAUGAUUUUGGAUUAGAAAUACAGGAGCUUAUAAAUUUCUAGUAUUUAAAUAGAGGGCUCAAUCAGAAAAAGGAUAAUUCGGAACUCCAACUUAUUUUAAAUAAAUGGUUGGAGAUGCCUCCUUCUGUUACAUACAUUUCCUGCCGCAGAAAAUUAUAAUGCUCCUGACCCUUCAUAUGUUCAGUAACUGAAGAGAAAUAACGUGUGGAGGACUUCAUAUCCAUAGUAGCUACAAAAGCGCCAUAUGACUUGUUUUUGUUCUUGGACGAGUGGCAUACACUAUAGAGUGCAAAAUAUACAAGAUUGUCAGCCAAAGCAUAAACAAGAUAUGUUUGCUUCAUGCCAGAUUUACAUCGAGCAACCCUCGCAACUUCGUUGUAACUGCUUAAAAACAUUGAUGCUAUAUGUACAUUGAUUGUGCUUAUCGAUCUAGGCCAGACUAAGCUGCUGGCCAAUAGCCGAAUUAAUUUUUGGCGUAGUAUAUUGUAUUCCCUGACUACCGGAGAGGGACAAUGACCUGUUGCAAUUCUAUUCUAUACUUCAUUGCAUUCAUUUAAAGCGUAUUGCCAAGUCGACUACCCAGCAUCUUGGAAGCAGCUGCGGAAACCCGAAACCCAAUGAAAAUAUUUGCGAUUUGAGUUUAAGUGCUACAAAUUUUAUUUGAAUCGUAAUCUGGAAAAUCUUAACAAACUGAACAUUAAAUUCUCGGUCUUCAUGACUCAAGCAGAAGAUCUUCAACGCGAUCAUAAAGACCUUCGAUGAUGCCACCGAUUUUCCCGACAGCGGACAUUUGCAGCAUUUCAACAUUAAUACUCCUUCGGGAUACGAGAAUGUCUCCGCUGCCAAGCACACGCCAGAGACAACAUCGACGGUGGCAACAGCCUUGACCUUGCCCACCGUUGCAAAGGGCGGUGCAACAGCGAAGGCAGCCAAGCAAAUAUCCAUUAUGUUGCAAUUCUCAAUUGGUUCUAGAUUGUUUAAAUCAUGAAUGUUCAUAAAUGUUCAGUAACUGAAGAGAAAUAACGUGUGGAGGACUUCAUAUCCAUAGUAGCCACAAAAGCGCCAUAUGACUUGUUUUUAUACCCGCUACCCAUAGGGUAGAAGGGUAUUAUAACCUUGUGCCGACAGGAAAUGUAUGUAACAGGUAGAAGGAGGCAUCUCCGACCAUAUAAAGUAUAUAUAUUCUUGAUCAGCGUCAACAGCCGAGACGAUAUAGCCAUGUCCGUCUGUCCGUCUGUGUGUCUGU